rnacentral:rRNA from 1 species
UACGUAGGGUGCGAGCGUUUAAUCGGAAUUACUGGGCGUAAAGCGUGCGCAGGCGGUUCGUUAAGUUCGUUGUGAAAGCCCCGGGCUUAACCUGGGAACGGCCGUUGAAACUGGCGAACUGGAGUGUGGCAGAGGGGGGUGGAAUUCCGCGUGUAGCAGUGAAAUGCGUAGAGAUGCGGAGGAACACCGAUGGCGAAGGCAGCCCCCCUGGGCUAACACUGACGCUCAGGCACGAAAGCGUGGGGAGCAAACAGG